GGCUAGAGAGGGCUGGCUAGCUGUUUUUCUUCCUGAUGUAUUUAUGCUUUGCAGAACUUGACAUGCUGCUUAACUAAAAACUUUUGUUUUAACAGCACAGACCUUUGAAAGUUAAGAAUUUGGAUCCUAAUUCUUCUUUGCUGGCUGUCUUCAUGUUUGGCACUCAGUCAGCAUGGGCUGGACUGCCUCACCUUUGGAGCCACCUAUAGAAAUCUUCAUGGAGAACCACACCAUUGCACGUCUAGUUCACCAUACUCCAAAGUUACCUGCUUUCAUCCUUGGCAGAGUUGAGGGGCUGUGGAGCAGGCAGCAGAGCAGAUACAGGGAAGACAUUAGUGCAUGUCAGAUGACACAUGGUUAACUUGCUGCCAUGUGAAGCAGCAGCUCCUGUUUCCUGAAUCAUCUCACUGUUGCUUCAUUUUGUUCUUCGGACAGAGCAUUCAAGUCUGGGUGACCACGUUAAAAUCUGUGGUCUCUGGGAGAAAAUCUGUGCUUGUCUUAUUUGAGCACCAGUGUGGGCAGCUCCAUGGGAUGGCUUGCAGAUCGAUGGAGUCUACAGCAUGUUCUUGUGUGUGAUCCCUACCACAUUUGUGCUCAGAGGAAGCAGUGUCUGCGUUUUCUCAUAGAAAGACCUUGAAAGAUUGUCUUUGGGUUGGAUUUCUGCUCCCUGCACUACUGCAAUCAGCAUGUGGGAUACUGAAAAGAGGUGUUGGUGUGCAGACAAAUGCAAGAAUGACCCAGCAAGAGGCUGAAGGCUGUGCAGGAAUCCACUUCUGAGCUCUUAGACUCCUCUACCGCAGAGACCAAGUAACACUCCCCGUCUACAAACUCUGCUUUUGAUUUGCUACCACAACUUCUGACUGCCAUUGCCUUUGUCCAGAGGAAAGUCAUACGGAAAAGGGGCCAUGUGCCUGGUUGGGCUACCAACGUGGAGAGAUCCUGGGACAGCUGACUCUCCGGAGCCCAGUGCAGGUCAGGCAAUAGGAAAGCCCUCUAGAUUUCGUUUAGCACAUGUCUCUGAGCAUGCAGAUGGGAUCACACACAGGCCCCAGGCACAUCCCACAAACCAUGGAUCAGAAAGUCCAUUUUUUUUUCCAGCCUUACCCUCAUUUUGAGCGAGUGCCUCCUGCAGGCUGUUGCGGGGGAGAAUGAAAUGUGCUCACUGACUACAGGUGAUACAGAGCCAUGCAUGAGAAAUAACCUUAUAUUUGGGUAAUGGCAUAUUAAUGAGGACCAGGAAAAGACCAGCUUUUCCGCUGUGUCAGGAGAGGGAGGCUGUACCCACCUGCUUCUUGUGGGGGGUAAGAAAUGGCAUCAUGUUGAAGUGCAAAUUAGGGGUUAAUGCACACACACACGAAGACCCACACUCUCCCCAUCUCCCCAUAUCCCCCUCUGUCUGGGCCAGUUCUCCAGUUUCUCAGUAGCCAUGGUUUUCCUGGCCCUGCUUCCUUCUGAGUUUUGCCCAGGGGACAUAUUUCCAUUUUUCCCUCCCUACUUUUCUGCAAAAAUCUCUGUUACUGAUGCUGAAGUUGUCACCUAUAAGAUAUCCACUCCAUGGCCUGCUCUUCUCAUGCUCCAUUUCAAGAGCUGUUGGCUACCUUUUCUGUUGAGGUCUCAGAGGUUGUCAUGCCCAUUCCUCACCUCCCCCAUGCUACACUCUUGAAUGUCUCUGUCCUUCCCUUGUCUUUCCAGCCCCUUGACUUCACCUCCCACUAUUUUCUGCUCUAGCAAGUUCUCUCCUCUUCUCUCUGCCCCCUGCUAUCUUCCCUCAGCCUUGUCUGCUUUCUCUCCCCGGUCUCCCACAAAUGCCUUGUGUUUUGUCCAUUUAACCCCUCUUCCUUGACCUGGGACAAUCUAGAGCCAUCAUGCUGUUGUCAUCCAUUUGUUCGUUCAUGUUUUGGUUCGUAGACCCUAAUGUCAGCCUUACAGAGGGCCUUAAAAAGGGUCACAUGUGUAGUGGGUUAUGUGUAGUGGGUUUUGGAGAUGUGCCACCCACUGCAAGGAUAUCCUGUUGAAUGCGCAUAGCUGUGAGCACAACUUCUGCUGAAAUCGGAUGUCUCCCCGAGUGUUGGCUUGGGGGGACAGGGAAGGACAGCGCCUGCGGAAGAGGUCGUGAUCCCCCAUCUAACAACAUAUGUAGCAGACACCUUUCCCUUGAGAUGGCAGCCUCUGGAAGCCCAAGACGAACCUUUCAACAAGAUUAAAGAGAUGGUAUUAAUUGCUAUCGAUCAUGGGUCAACAAAUUAAAUUGCAUCUGCAACUGCAUCUCUGAAAGGUCUAAAUGAGAAGAGUAGUUAAUGGGUCUGGCUGGCCCAGCACUGCAAUUAAUUAAAGGGAGAAAUGAACUAAAAAUGAAAAAAAAAAAAUGAGAUGAGGCUGAAACUCUGGAAAUAUGUAGGAUCAGAAAAAAAUAUAGUAUCGAUAGAGAGAGCUCAAUGGAAUUGCAAUGCUAUAGCCAUGCUAUCUGGCCUGAAACAGCAGGAUGGGGUAUUUAAGCCUUGCUCAGGGGGUUUUAUAUUAUCAGGUGCUUGCUU